UCCAGGAUGUCAUGUAGUUGGAGUCAUGCAGCAUAAACUCUUUCCAUAUUGGCUUCUUUCACGCGGCAAAUGGGUCAAGUUUCUUCCUUGUCUGUUUGUGGCUUCAUAGCUCAUUUCUUUUGAUCUCUGUAAAUAUCACACUGUCUGGAUGGACCAGUGUCUUUAUCGACUCACCUAUUGGAAGGCAUCUAAACUUUGACAAUUGUUCCCUACCGGGUCUUCUCGUGGUCGGUGGCGGACAGUGGGCGUAACCGCGGAGGAGGCCGUGCAGUGCUCGCCUCGGGUCCUUGGCGGCCGGCCUCCGGGGCACUGACCAGCUCGUGUGAAGGGAACACUCUGGGUGGUCUGCUGCUUAGGAUGGCCGCUAGCACGCUCUUCAGGCAAUAACUUGGGAAAAUGCCAACGUUCGAGAACACGAUACAGAACUCUAAGUCUCGAUGAUGUUUUGCCUGUCGACUUGAGCUGGUAUAUCUGACCGUAUUACAGUCUACACUCAGCAUGUGACAAACCGUUUCCAAAUCCUCUAACAACAGGCUUCUAAUUCCGUAUGCCACGGGAUAAAUACUCCAGAUCUUUGACACUGAAGGAGAAAGCUCUCAGCAAUUUUAAGUCCAGGGAUGAUGAAUGUCAGAAAUGCAAUUUCUAAAAUUGGUAGUGGUGCUUUUAUUAAAUUCAAUUCACACCGUGAAUGUCCUUCAAAGAACAUGCAAAAAAAAUGUUUUUUAAUUCAAUUGUUUAUGACUAAAACCUAAGUUUCAACAGAAAUUCAGCUAAACUUUGAAACUCAGAGUUAAAAGAUUAAGAAAAUGUUCUGCUCUUGUGUAUGGAUAGAUGAUAAUGUUGUAGACCAAUGGUGUUUGCCGUUUGUGACCAAAUAGUGGUAAAAAGUAAGACCAUGAAUUACUGGGCUUUUGAUUAGCAUUAAAAUUCUGAAAAUUAAAAAAAAAGUAGGAGGAGAAUGAAAAAAUGAAAGGAAGGGAAAGAGAAAGAGAGAAGAGGAAAGAAGGGAAGGAAAUCAGAAUUUGGAAGUUCCCUCGAGUGGCCUCACUCUCUCACAUCCCCCUGUGAUGCAGGGUGACGGUUUGGGCGGCCCCAGCCAGCACUUGGCCCCUUCAUUUCAGCCCUUCUGCCACCUGUGUUGUACGUGGUAAUGGUUUUAACUUGCGUUUUCCUAGUGAGUAAAGAGGUUAAACAUCGUUUCCGGUACUUCUCAGUCGCAGGUGUAUCUUCUUUGAUGAAACGUCUGUUCGAAUGUUACACUCGUUUAAAAAUACAGCCUUCAACUGCCAGCUCCCAAAUGGGGUUCGUAUUCACCCCCUCCCACACUCUCUAGUUCCGAUCCUCAUUUUCUCUUAUGGAGACUCCCUGCCCGUCUCCCAGCCACGGCC